rnacentral:ncRNA from 1 species
GAUUUCGUGCGACCAAAAGUGUCAAAGUGAUGAAAUUCAAACAAUCGCGGAUAAACGGCAGGAGUAACUACGACUCUCUUAAGGUAGCCAAAUGCCUCGUCAUCUAGGUAGUGACGCGCAUGAAUGGAU